GUAGUUCUUCCCAUGUCAAAGAGAAAACAACCUGGAAGCAUUCAAGGGGCAGGAAGAAGUGUCCACUUGCUGGUGGGAAAAUGCACCGAGAGACACAGAAGACAGAUCACAGCCUAUUCCCACUGGGAGCUCACAGUCAGGAAGGCAUCUUGGAAAAGGUACAUCUGAGGGGGAAGAUGGGCAGCGGGCACAGCUGCACUAUAUAAGCUCUGAGAUGCAUCAUUUCCCAGUUCCUCUCCUGUGGUACAAACUCAUGGAUGUGAAGGGCACAUCUGGCUCUCAUCGGUCGCCCUGUGGAGGCUUGGAGCACAGGGAACCAAUGCCAAGAUUCUUACAUUUGUCCACCCUUUUCCUGGGACCUACACCUGAAUAUGGCUGGAUGGUACAGUAUGAGCCACCUGAUGUCAAAGUGGAGAGAGACAUGCCAUUUGCAGGCUAGACA